GAUGAACGCUGGCGGCGUGCUUAACACAUGCAAGUCGAACGGAAAGGCCACAGCUUGCUGUGGUACUCGAGUGGCGAACGGGUGAGUAACACGUGGGUGAUCUGCCCUGUACUUCGGGAUAAGCUUGGGAAACUGGGUCUAAUACCGGAUAGGAAUCACAUGUGGGUGUGUGGUUGGAAAGCUUUUGCGGUAUGGGAUGAGCUCGCGGCCUAUCAGCUUGUUGGUGGGGUAAUGGCCUACCAAGGCGUCGACGGGUAGCCGGCCUGAGAGGGUGUACGGCCACAUUGGGACUGAGAUACGGCCCAGACUCCUACGGGAGGCAGCAGUGGGGAAUAUUGCACAAUGGGCGCAAGCCUGAUGCAGCGACGCCGCGUGGGGGAUGACGGCCUUCGGGUUGUAAACUCCUUUCGUCAGGGACGAAGCGAAAGUGACGGUACCUGGAUAAGAAGCACCGGCUAACUACGUGCCAGCAGCCGCGGUAAUACGUAGGGUGCGAGCGUUGUCCGGAAUUACUGGGCGUAAAGAGCUCGUAGGUGGUUUGUCGCGUCGUUUGUGUAAGUCCACGGCUUAACUGUGGGAUGGCAGGCGAUACGGGCAUAACUUGAGUGCUGUAGGGGAGACUGGAAUUCCUGGUGUAGCGGUGAAAUGCGCAGAUAUCAGGAGGAACACCGAUGGCGAAGGCAGGUCUCUGGGCAGUAACUGACGCUGAGGAGCGAAAGCAUGGGUAGCGAACAGGAUUAGAUACCCUGGUAGUCCAUGCCGUAAACGGUGGGCGCUAGGUGUGAGUCCCUUCCACGGGGUUCGUGCCGUAGCUAACGCAUUAAGCGCCCCGCCUGGGGAGUACGGCCGCAAGGCUAAAACUCAAAGGAAUUGACGGGGGCCCGCACAAGCGGCGGAGCAUGUGGAUUAAUUCGAUGCAACGCGAAGAACCUUACCUGGGCUUGACAUACACCAGAUCGGCGCAGAGAUGCGUUUUCCCUUGUGGUUGGUGUACAGGUGGUGCAUGGUUGUCGUCAGCUCGUGUCGUGAGAUGUUGGG
rnacentral:rRNA from 1 species